GCGUCAGACUAGGAGACGUACGCUGACCAAUCACGCGUCAGACUAGGAGACGUACGCUGACCAAUCACGCGUCAGACUAGGAGACGUACGCUGACCAAUCACACGUCAGACUAGGAGACGUACGCUGACCAAUCACGCGUCAGACUAGGAGACGUACGCUGACCAAUCACGUGUCAGACUAGGAGACGUACGCUGACCAAUCACGUGUCAGACUAGGAGACGUACGCUGACCAAUCACGCGUCAGACUAGGAGACGUACGCUGACCAAUCACACGUCAGACUAGGAGACGUACGCUGACCAAUCACGCGUCAGACUAGGAGACGUACGCUGACCAAUCACGCGUCAGACUAGGAGACGUACGCUGACCAAUCACGUGUCAGACUAGGAGACGUACGCUGACCAAUCACACGUCAGACUAGGAGACGUACGCUGACCAAUCACGCGUCAGACUAGGAGACGUACGCUGACCAAUCACGCGUCAGACUAGGAGACGUACGCUGACCAAUCACGUGUCAGAAUAGGAGACUGGUUGAAUAGGAAACUGGUUGAUCACCAGUUUGGGAUGGUAUAGACUGCUCUUAAUGCUGCAGUCUGUAAUUUAGCUCGUCCCCCUUGUGGUCACAAACGAUCAACACUCAAAACUAAACAUAUUAAGCCAAUCGGGAUGUAUAGACUCCUGAAGAACCUCUGUUUACAAACAAUGGUUGGUUUCAGAGUGUCAGUAGGGAGCAGGACUAACAGAGUGUUCUACUGCCACAGACAGACUGGUGUUCUCCAGCCCUUAUAACGGACGGUUAUUACACUUCAUAGACGGGUCAUAGAGGUGUCAUAGACGGGUCAUAGAGGUGUCAUAGACAGGUCAUAGAGGUGUCAUAGACAGGUCAUAGAGGUGUCAUAGACUGUUCAUAGACCGUUCAUAGACAGAUCAUAGACAGACCAUAGAGGUGUCAUAGACUGUUCAUAGACAGAUCAUAGACAGGUCAUAGAGAGGUUAUAGACAGAUCAUAGACAGGUCAUAGAGGUGUCAUAGACUGUUCAUAGACAGGUCAUAGAGGUUAUAGACAGAUCAUAGACAGGUCAUAGAGGUGUCAUAGACUGUUCAUAGACAGGUCAUAGAGGUGUCAUAGACUGUUCAUAGACAGGUCAUAGAGAGGUUAUAGACAGAUCAUAGACAGGUCAUAGAGGUGUCAUAGACUGUUCAUAGACAGGUCAUAGAGAGGUCAUAGACAGAUCAUAGAUAGGUUAUAGAAAGGUCAUAGAGGUGUCAUAGACAGGUCAUAGACAGAUCAUAGACAGGUCAUAGAUAGGU